GACGAACGCUGGCGGCGUGCUUAACACAUGCAAGUCGAACGGAAAGGCACUGAUUUUGUGGGGUGCUCGAGUGGCGAACGGGUGAGUAACACGAGAGUAACCUGCCCUUGACUUUGGGAUAACUUCAGGAAACUGGGGCUAAUACCGGAUAGCAGCUCCUGCUGCAUGGUGGGGGUUGGAAAGUUUCGGCGGUCGGGGAUGGACUCGCGGCUGAUCAGCUAGUUGGUGGGGUAGUGGCUUACCAAGGCGAUGACGGGUAGCCGGCCUGAGAGGGUGAUCGGCCACACUGGAGCUGAGACACGGUCCAGAGUCCUACGGGAGGCAGCAGUGGGGAACAUUGGACAGUGGGCGCAAGUCUGAUCCAGCCAUAGCGCGUGGGUGAAGAAGGCCUUCGGGUUGUAAAGCCCUUUUGUUGGGAAAGAAAAGCAGCAGGUUAAUACCCCGCUGUUCUGACGGUACCCAAAGAAUAAGCACCGGCUAACUUCGUG
rnacentral:rRNA from 1 species